ensembl:lincRNA
AUAGUGAAGGGAGUAUCACAACUUAGCAAUCCUCAGUCAGCCUCUUUCCCUUAUCUUCCAAAUUCACACUUCCGAGGUUGAGUAAGUAUUAGUGAAGUAAAGAUUCCUGACCAUUUCGAGGCUGAUGGCGGCAGAGAGACAAACAGAGGUUUAAUGUGAUUUAUUAACAGAGUUAAAAAUAGACGGAAAAACAGAGCACAGAAACUUGUUCUCGUGAGAGUGUGCAUGCUUUCAUUCUGAUCACUUUGUUAUACCAAAAAGAAAAAACACCCUCUGUUUCCUAUAUUCCAAAGGAAAGCAGUUGCACAUUUGAUCAGGAGUCUAAUUGUAUCUUGGCAAAGAAAAGGAGAAUUUGAGGACCUGGAGUUUUCCAUUUAGGGUAGUAUCAACAAGCUGGUCCACUGAGAGAGGAAAGCAAGCAUGUUGAAAUUGCUUUCGUUUUCAAAGCAUUUUCCUGUCCAGGAAGCAGGAGCAGUCAUGGCUGGUGAGUGGCGUCAGUUUUUCUGUUCUUUAUGGCUAUACUUUGAGAAAGUUAUAGUUCAAGGGAAAGAAGAAGGCAGACUGGAGGGGGAUCUCCCAAGACCUAAUUAUUUUACUCUGGGUAUGGAGGGAGAUAUGGGAGGUUGGGGCACAGCACUAAAAAUGCUGACCAAGUGUCUUAGUUAGUAUGUUACAACUUCUCAAAUGAAAGAAAAAUGCAAAAACAUCUGGAUCUCUGUUCUUAAACUUUUCCUUUGAUUUUAGACUCUUCUUUUAACUCAUACUGACCCAAAAUUCUCACUCAUUUCAUAAGUGUUCUGUUACGGGGAGGGUGGAAAGCCAGGCGGUUGAAUAGGUAUAUCAUUCUGAGAGUGAGAACAAUGAAUCUGAAGAAGGCUCUGCAUAAUCUUCCUUUUCCACAGAAUCUGAAGAAGAAAAUGAAGAAAGUAGAGACGAAGAAAGAGCUGCAUCAGCCCAGUCAAUGCCUGUUUCUCCAAAAAGGUAAAUUGACACCAGAAAAGUGGUUGCUAGCCUUACAAGGAGUCCUGUGUUAUAGGGGAAACACCAUUGCAUUAAGGUUAAGACCACGUAGGUUAUCUCUCACCUCUCCAUGUAACAAAGUAUCUCAAAACAAGAUUAGCACUUACAUGCCUGCUCUUUGGUUCUCCUCAGAACUCAGAAAUGAAAGUGAAAAUGAAGAACCUGAGCAUAAUGCUGUAUUGGUAGGAGCAUCAAUACCAACAUGAACAGGUACUAUCUAUCCAUGGACAUAUAAUGACAUUAUUUGAGAUAGGGCAGAAUUUUAAAAAGACUUAUGGGGUAAUGCAUAGAGAACUGGAGUAAACGCCAAGAACACUGUAUAUGCUGAGCCCAUCACUGUCACUACCUAUGUGCUUUGAUGUAAAUAUCCACACCUUUCUGAGACUCAUAUUUUUAAAUGGAAUUUAAAAUUGAAGAGCAGGGAAGUAAGUGCUAAUCUUGCUUUUAACAUCUUUAAAAAAUGUGCAAAACUACAGAUACAUAAGAAACUACUAACUGCACAAAACAGAAUAAGGAAGCAGUUAAGAAAAGUACAUACAAAGUAAUAAAAACUGCAUACAAGUAACACAUGCUAUGUAGUCACCAAGGAAACUGAUCAAUUAUCAGGCUACAUUAAAGAAUUGUGGUGUAGAAUGGUAGAUGAGCAGAAGUGAUAAUACCGUCUUUCGAGUACCAUAAUUUCAAAAGUUCUGAACAAACUUAAAAAGGAAUAAAAACCUAUAACCUUUUAUCAUGGUUUUAUCCAUUUAGUAUCUAUUAAUUGAAAAUCUACUGUAUGCUGUUCUAGUACUGUGUAUGGCAGUAAGCAAGACAGACAAAGCUCCUACCCUCAUGGACUUUGCAAUGUAGUGAAGGUAUGUAUAUAAUAAACAUGUAAAUAAUAAAUGGUAUGAUUUCAGAGAAUGCAUAAAAGAGAAUUAGAUUAUAGAAAGAUGGUGUGUGUGUGUGUGCCAGGGGUGGGCAAAGGAAGGCCAGUGAGCCACGGUGGUUAGCCAUGACCUCUCCCCAGAGGUGGCAUUUCAGUACAUGCUUGAAUGUGGGGAUGGAGUUGUGCCAAACUCUGAAAAAAAAAUGUUCUCUGGAAAGGGCAAACAAGAGCAAAGACCCCGAGACAAUAAUGCUCUUGCUGUUCAGGAAGGCUACAGACAAUCUGACUGGAGAGUAGAAAAUUAGGGGGAGCAUAAGUAGCAGAGCUAUUAAAGAGUCAGGCUGGGGAUUUUAUUUGCAAUAGAAAACACGGGAUAGUUGUUGUUUUUUUUUUUUUGGACAACUGUUUAUUAGUAGUUGAUGAUCCUUAUGAAUUCCAGGAGGGUUGCAUAGCCUUUGCUCUUCCUAGCCACCUAUUACAUUUAACGUCCAUUGCUAAAACAAGUGCUUAAACUUGUAUAAGUAUUAAAGAAUAUUUUUGUGCGAGCUAAGUUUUUUAAAUAAUAAUCUUCAAAGUGAAAGAGAGCUGUUAAUCUCCCACUUUUCUUUCCCUGUCUCUUUUAUUUCCCCUUUCUUACC